GGUGCAUGGUUGUCGUCAGCUCGUGUCGUGAGAUGUUGGGUUAAGUCCCGCAACGAGCGCAACCCUUGAUUUUAGUUGCCAGCAUUUAGUUGGGCACUCUAAAGUGACUGCCGGUGCAAGCCGGAGGAAGGUGGGGAUGACGUCAAAUCAUCAUGCCCCUUAUGACCUGGGCUACACACGUGCUACAAUGGAUAGUACAAAGGGUCGCGAAGCCGCGAGGUGGAGCUAAUCCCAUAAAACUAUUCUCAGUUCGGAUUGUAGGCUGCAACUCGCCUACAUGAAGCCGGAAUCGCUAGUAAUCGUGGAUCAGCAUGCCACGGUGAAUACGUUCCCGGGCCUUGUACACACCGCCCGUCACACCACGAGAGUUUGUAACACCCGAAGUCGGUAGGGUAACCUUUAUGGAGCCAGCCGCCGAAGGUGGGACAGAUAAUUGGGGUGAAGUCGUAACAAGGUAGCCGUAUCGGAAGGUGCGGCUGGAUCACCUCCUUU
rnacentral:rRNA from 1 species